rnacentral:rRNA from 1 species
GACGAACGCUGGCGGCGUGCCUAAUACAUGCAAGUCGAACGCACUCUCGUUUAGAUUGAAGGAGCUUGCUCCUGAUUGAUAAACAAUUGAGUGAGUGGCGGACGGGUGAGUAACACGUGGGUAACCUGCCCUAAAGUGGGGGAUAACAUUUGGAAACAGAUGCUAAUACCGCAUAAAACCUAACACCGCAUGGUGUAGGGUUGAAAGAUGGUUUCGGCUAUCACUUUAGGAUGGACCCGCGGUGCAUUAGUUAGUUGGUGAGGUAAAGGCUCACCAAGACCGUGAUGCAUAGCCGACCUGAGAGGGUAAUCGGCCACACUGGGACUGAGACACGGCCCAGACUCCUACGGGAGGCAGCAGUAGGGAAUCUUCCACAAUGGACGAAAGUCUGAUGGAGCAACGCCGCGUGAGUGAAGAAGGUUUUCGGAUCGCAAAACUCUGUUGUUGGAGAAGAAUGUAUCUGAUAGUAACUGAUCAGGUAGUGACGGU